rnacentral:rRNA from 1 species
UCCUACGGGAGGCAGCAGUAGGGAAUUUUCGUCAAUGGGCGCAAGCCUGAACGAGCAAUGCCGCGUGAACGAGGAAGGUCUUCGGAUCGUAAAGUUCUGUUGCAGGGGAAAAAGAGCGGAGAGAGGAAAUGGUCUCCGAUUGAUAUUACCCUUCGAGGAAGUCACGGCCAACUACGUGCCAGCAGCCGCGGUAAUACGUAGGUGGCGAGCGUUAUCCGGAAUGAUUGGGCGUAAAGGGUGCGUAGGCGGCCUGCUAAGUCUGGAGUGAAAGGUACCGGCUCAACCGGUACAGGCUCUGGAAACUG